UAGGGAAUUUUGCGCAAUGGGCGGAAGCCUGACGCAGCAACACCGCGUGAAUGUUAGACCCUUCGGGGUAUAAAGUUCUGUCAGUGGGGACGAAUUUGUGACUGUACCCACAAAGGAAGCACCGGCUAACUCCGUGCCAGCAGCCGCGGUAAUACGGGGGGUGCAAGCGUUGUCCGGAAUCAUUGGGCGUAAAGCGUUCGUAGGCGGUAAAGUAAGUCAGAUGUUAAAGCCCGGGGCUCAACUCCGGUUCGGCAUUUGAUACUACUUAACUGGAAUGCGGUAGAGGUAAAGGGAAUUCCUGGUGUAGCGGUGAAAUGCGUAGAUAUCAGGAGGAACAUCGGUGGCGAAAGCGCUUUGCUGGGCCGUUAUUGACGCUGAGGAACGAAAGCCAGGGGAGCAAAUGGG
rnacentral:rRNA from 1 species